CUACGGGAGGAAGUAUUGAGGAGGGUCACCUGUGGCUUGGGUGAUUUUAAACAAAGUGGUGAGGAGAUUGAAGAACCCGGUAUAUUGGCUCGACAUAACCGGUCUAUCUCAGCUCCGUAAAGAUGCUCAUCCUUCUUCUUACAGUGGGAACCAUCCUGGUAAUGAUAGCCAGUGGUGUCUUCCUGGUCUACCUGAUACUUGGAACAUACUCUUUUCUCUUGAAGUCUCUUUUGUCCUAUCAUCAAUGUAUAAGUUACUGAAUAACAGUCUAUUUCUUUAGUUAACUUUGAAUUGUUGUUGCUUGAUUCUUGACUGAAAUAACGUUAUAGAUACCAAUAUGACUCUAAACAUGAGGAAAACAUCUCAGACCAAUGUUUUUUUCAAUGGCGUUUCUCCUGUUCAUUACGAGUAAGUAAACAAACAAAGAAACCCGUUUCAAUGGGUAGUUGAUAUUACUGGCUAAGCAUUUUCUAGGCAUAGCAUAGCUAUUAGGGAAUCAUAAACAUUUUAAUGUUAAUCUUAAUGCAAGAAAUUGAUAAUUUAAAUACCAUGUGAUCUAUGUAUAAUAGCACUUUAAAAUUUAUUGAUGGAGACAAAUGUUUUAUCCUGCUGUGCUCAAAACCGGCCAUGACUAUUAUUUUGAUAAUGUAUGUUAUUGUGUAGGUGAUUAUGGUUCUACCAUUCUCUAAUAUUCUCUAGACGAUCUUUUGUUGGCAGUGGAAGGAAUUGGGGAGAGCCAAUGAAGUCAUGUAAGAGUCACACACAGCCAUUCUACGGGAGGAAGUAUUGAGGAGGAUCACCUGUGGCUUGGGUGAUUUUAAACAAAGUGGUGAGGAAAUUGAAGAACCCGGUCUAUUGGCUCGACAUAACCGGUCUAUCUCAGCUCCGUAAAGAUGCUCAUCCUUCUUCUUACAGUGGGAACCAUCCUGGUAAUGAUAGCCAGUGGUGUCUUCCUGAUCUACCUGAUACUUGGAAUAUACUCUUUUACUAUGCUCUUUUCUCUUGAAGUCUCUUUUGUCCUAUCAUCAAUGUAUAAGUUACUGAAUAACAGUCUAUUUCUUUAGUUAACUUUGAAUUGUUGUUGCUUGAUUCUUGACUGAAAUAACGUUAUAGAUACCAAUAUGACUCUAAACAUGAGGAAAACAUC
rnacentral:lncRNA from 1 species